GCCAGCAUGGUGUAGUGGUUUGAACAUUGGACUACGAUUCGGUAGAUCCAGGUUCGAAUCCCUGCUCUGCCA